GCUCAUGAAUGAAUACAAUAAACUCUUGGCUUCUGUCACUCUGACGCCUGUAGAUCUAUCUGAGGAUAACUGUAGUUUUUGUUUUUUUUUUUUUAAAGAAACUGUAGUUUUUGUUGUUAAUGUCAUUUAUCUGAUUGUUCAUUGAAAUGACCAUAUACAAUCAUAGAGUAGCCGUGUAAUGUACCAUCAUGUAUGUUAUGAAGAGACAUAUAGCUUCUAGUUCCCAUGUAACAUUGUGUUGUAAGAUUCCUGUAAUGUGAUAUGAACCUAUAAUCAUGUGAGACCUUGAUCCUAAAUAUGUGUUUACUCCAAUUCAAGUAUGUGUUUGGUAAAUAAAAAAUUCAAAGUGACGACUUGCAUGUCUUUUGCAUUGUUUUCUUUUUCUUUCUCUUACUGAAGCCAUGUCCUUGUGUUAUCCAACGUCAUGCCCCAAGUCUCAUAUUUAUUUGUAACCUAUUUGCAUAUGUUUUAUUUCAUUUCAUAUAUAAUUCUUAACCAUUAGCCUGAUAAUAAUAUUCUUAACCAUUAGCCUUUAAUAUGGCCAUGGCCUUUGCUGUGACACUUUUUAAUGGCUAACUAAAGUUUGGGUGGUGACAUGGUUGCAGUUAAUUAUCCUUCAGUAGUUUGAGUGAACAACAAUAUUGCAUGUAGUCAAAUUUUCAAUGACAUUACAAUUAAAAUUUACAAUUUUUUGCCAGACAAUUUACAUCCAAAGCUCAAACUUCAUGAUCCGUGAAAAAUGAGCUUGCUGGUCUUUCCUAGAUAAAGCUGUGAUGGGACUGCCUCAAGACACCAAAAUUUGAUAGAAAGGAAAAUAAUGGAAUUCUCUAUAUGUAAGAUGAAAUAAAAUUUCCUGUAGCUUCACUCAAUGUUCAAAUCCCUUUAAGUUUACCAACCAGCCCUGUCAAAGAGGUCCACUUCUCAAUUGCAGAGGCUGAAGACACAAAGGCAAUUAAGAGUUAGUGUGUGUGCUUGAAGAAAUCUUAGAGCCUACAUUUUGAGGAAGAUAUCACAUAUGACAUAUCUAUAUUCCUAGCCUAGAAUUUUGUUGGAAAAUGCUAGUAUGCACAAAUAUGUGCGCGCGUGCACACACUUAAGAAAGUUUAUAUGAGGAUAAUAUAUUUGCAAGGUUACAUAUAUACAAUUUUUUAUUGUGUUUGGAUUUCAUUUUAAAUUGGUUUAAAAAUACAUUUGAGUCAAUUUAACAUCUUCUGUUGAUCAUUUUGACAAAUGUGAUUUUAAAUAAACUUUGUAGUUUUUGCUCCAAAAUAAACUUUGUAGUUGAUAUGUAUAAUUGAUUUGGUUGAAAUUGAGUUUCAAAUGAAAUUAUUAUUUUUGCAUAUUUUAUAUAAACAAGAGAAAGCCUAAAUUUGAAUGUGUCCACCUCAGACUUCUCUUCAGGACUUGAACUCAGCUGUUAAGAAGCAGACCAAAUAGAGAUUAAAGAGUGUGUUUCAAGUUUCAACGACGAUAGUAUCUCGGGCAUGAGUUUUGGAUUUGAAUUUUCCACUUGAAAAUUAUACUAAAGGCACCAGUUUCCUCAAUUUUGAAAUUCAGACUCUAAUGCUACUAUAAGAGCAUUUAUGUAUCAAGGUCAAAAUUUAGUGCCAAUUAUUGCUAUUGACUAAGAGAUUACAUACUGAUGUUAUUAUCCAUAUUAUUGCUAAGAAAUUAAUAACAGGCAACUUUCUUUUUUGUCUAACUUUUGAUAUGAAAUUGUUAUUAAACAUUUCAUAACAAAGGGGUUCACAGUGAAUGCAUUUAAGUGCAUGUUUGAAUUGACACGAGUUUCAUAGAGAUAUAUCUUAUUCAUAGCUAUAUUAAAAACUGGUGUUUUGAGUUUUUCAUGAAGGAACUUGAGCAAACAAUAACAUGAACUACGAAAUAGAACUUCAUCAUAUGAUACUAAAAUUUAUUGCAGUAAUAGUAUUGCAUUAAAAUUAAACAAACCAAUAUUUGCACUUUAUGAGAGCUUUUUAUUUUCAUUAGAAACCCUCAUGAAUUGUGCUAAAUUAGACCCUCAAAUUUAUAUGUAUUAUGGUGAACAAAAUCAUUCAAUUUAAGGAAUUAACAUGAAAAAUAAAUUUCAUAUCAAAUAAUGCACACUACCUGUUUCUUUGGUGGAGGAACUAAUGACACCUUGUUUCUCAAGUCUCUUUUUUCUAUCUUUCUUUACUUUUUCCAAAAGCUAAAAUCUGGUUCUUUUUAUACCCCUAAGAAGAUUAUUUUUACCCACGGUAAAAAGUUUUUGGGUAAAAAGAAGCAAAUUUAAUUUUACUAAAACCAAAACGAGACAUAUUUGCAGGAACUAAAACUAUAUUUUAGCCAAAAAUUAAUGAUGUAAGUUGUCUAUCAUAUGAUUGGAUCAAUAUCAUAUUUGCGGUGCGAAGAUGUAUUAGUGCUGGGAACCUGCGCGAAAUGUGUUAAUUGUGACAGCACGACCAUGUGCUAAACAUCAAGGUACGUACUAAACUUACUAUUUUUAAUGGCAAAGCAUUAUUAAUAUACAUCAAUGUUUAAUGGAUGGUCAAACUCAUUACAAAUAAUGUUAAAGACCAGGAGAGAGGCAAGCAACAACUAGAAAUAACACUACCAAUAACAAUAGAGGAAAACUAACCGUGAGAGUUAACUUAAAAUUAGGAUAUGUAGAAAUCGUGCCACGAUGGAGAAACAACGUGCUAUGAUGGUUGAAGAUUUUCGUGAAGCAAGUCAUUGGAAAAAUAGUACCAUGAUGGAAUUGCAACGUGGCACGAUGGUGCGAUGGCAGCGAAUAACAUAAACGUAUUUUUGGGUGCAGAUUUGUUUCAAAUUUUAAGCAAUACUUUUACUAUAAAUAUAGACCUUGUAUCAGACUAAACUUUGAGAUAGAGGGGGCUGAAACAAGGGUUUAGAAAGGCAACAACAAAACUAGGGUUUGUAUAAGUUUGUCUCUUUGGAACUAACACUAGGGUUUGAGGGUUGAUUCAUCUUGGGAAACACUAUUAGGAUUGAGUCUCUUGGUUACGGGAAGAAGCUGGGACUUUGGGUAGAAUUAGGCGGGAGACUUAUUCUUGUAACCCAUUGAUAUCUCUUUUGUAAAGUUACUCAUCAUAUAGUGAAACGGAGGGCUGCUCUCUCCCCAGACUAGGUCAAUUUGGACCGAACCGGGUCAACAAAUUCUUUUGUGUUCUUCUCUUGAUUUCUCUCGCUGUUUUCUACUUUUGGCUUGUGUUUAUAAUUAUUCUAUACACUUCAUUUUGAUUGCUUGAUUAUCCCUUACUCCACACAUCAAGUUUGUUAUUGAUGUGUUUUCACAACGAAUUCACAACACUAACAACUAUUAUAAAUACAGAAAUGAUAGCUAUGUUAUAGGUACGAAAUAUCCAUGAUUAUUUAAUAGUAACUAAUAUUAGCUAGAGAGCAUGUUGAGAACAUAAGAUAGGUACUAAACUAAAUUAGCAUUCUAGUAGCCUUUUUAAUUAGGACAAUAUUUGUCUUUACUCUUUACAAAGUGGAUAACAGACUAAUAUCACAUGAAUCAACUAAUCCUAGAUUUAACUAAGCACAUGCUCCUAAAAUAUUCCGUAGAGCCUCAAAUGAUACGAAAUUUCAAGCUCCAACGAUUCCUUUUCCUUGGACCUCAGACAUGAGUCUGCCCUACCUUAUUUUCAAAGGUCUAAAAUUAAUUUUUUUUUGUUAAGAGGUGAAUAUGAAAUAUAUUAAUCAAAAUUAAUAAGUUCUUCCCGCAUAAGUGAAAAUAAUAAUUAAAAUCGAAAGUAACAUAUCUCAAUGUCAACCAUUAAAAAGACUUCAACUUAAUCUUUUCACUUAAAGAUUGUAAGUGAUCUCUUUCGUGUUGGAAUGUUGCAACUUAAUAUUACUUUUUUUUUCAGGGGUGUUUGUUUCACUGCUACAAAUUAAAGUUCUGGGAACGUAAGAUGGAAAUUAUUUAUUAAAGUCCUGGGACAAAAAAAUGAAUAGUCAUGUUUCCAUCUUUAACACUCAAUGAUGAAAUAAGAGACGUUUUAUUUUAUUUUUAUUUUUUAGCUUUUUUUGUAAAUAAUAUUUUUUGAUAGUAAUGAAUAAAUGAUAAUCAUUAGACAUAUCGCUCAUGAAUUAGCACAAACAACCUGUUAGAAACUAGCUCCCAAGUAACCAUCGGUAAAAAUUAAUAAUAAUAAUAAAAGUUGGCCGGAUUAUGUAUUGGUCUCUCAACUCAAGUAUAAGUAUAUUUGACUGAAGUUGAAUCAUUUGGUGCGAAAUCGAUUAACAAAUGAGACAACUAACAGUAACUAUCAAGUAUAGGUAGAUGAGCUUGAAGAUUCAUUUAAGCCUUAUUUGACUUUUGAUAAUGUUGAAUGAGAGCUUAAAAAACUAUAACAUCCAGCUCACUAAGUGAAAAUAUUAUAUAAUCACUUUCUAAAUAUUGCACAAAAAAGGUUAACAACUCAACUGUUUGGACAAGAUAUGAGCCAACAUCGUUCAGAACUUGCACAAAGACUAAUUAUCUUCAAAAUAGUGUUACAUUAAACGUGGUUAAGUGAUAUGGGGAUUUAAAACUUUGGCCAAUAAAACAAGUUUGGGCUAUAACUCAUUGAACUGGGCAGUAUCCUAUAGUAUUUACGUUCUUAGUCAUUGUAUAUGAUGGAAGAUAUAAGGUUGUCUUGAUAGUUGAGGUGUAGGGAGUUAAAUAGUGAAAUGAUAAGAGACUGCGAGUUCAAUUUUAAAGAGAAGUCAUGAGAUAUCACAUAUUAUAGAGGUUGAUAGUUCGAUCUCCACUUCAAACAUAUAACUAAUAAUUAUUAACAAUACUAACAUUGUUAGUUUCAAAGAAAAAAUCAUUAUAUAUGACGUAAUAUAUAGUUAGUUUACAUUUUUUUUAAGGAUAAGUUUAAUAUCAACUAUGUGCAACUACGAAGACUAACCCCUCAAAUCUUGAGAGAUCUAAUGUACGUCAAAUCAUCUCUAAAAUUUUAACAUUGUUUCAUGUUCAAAUUCAAAAUAGAACUCAAAGACUUUGGUUACUUUUAUUUUUUUUUUAGUUUUUUAAAUUAGUCUUAAUUUUUUAGUUUCUUUCUUUAAUUUUAAAAGUUAAUGAAGUCUUGUAUCCUCCUUACUUUAAAGUUUACGUUUUUUUUUUUUUUUUUUUUUUUUUUUGGGGGGGGGGGGGUUUCUUAUUUUUUAAAAAAGAAAAAAAAUUGGUUUCUCAUUUCAUUUAGGAUUCACUUUUGAUGAUGAGACAUGUUUAUUAUGGUGUGAUAACGUUUAUUUUUUCACUCAAUAUCCAUGUUAAUAAAAAUGACUCAAAUGAUAUGAAGAGCAAACAAUUUGAAAAAUAAAAUAAAAUAAGGAGACCAUAAACCGUUUUUAAAUUAAGGGGACCAAAACUUUGUUUUUUUUUCUAAGUGCAUCUAAGUCUUUUUUUUUUAUUACAUAAAGUGAGUGAGUAUAAGUAUUAAAGGCUCAUGCUCACAUAUGCUCUAAGACAAAUUUUAAGAAUUUCAAAUAGAGCAACUAUUUAUUGAGAUAAAUAAUUAAAAUAAAUAACAAUACCCUUGCAAAGUUGUUGGAGGAUAUAGGUAGGAUUUGAUAUUCCUUCAACAAAAAAAGAAAGGUACGAUUUGAUAUAAUAAAUGAGAAUUGAAAGUAAGAUGGAUUGUGAUGCAUUUAUCGCUAAGUUGAUAAAGAAGAUACGAAGCAAUAUGUUGAAGAAAACGAUGGAUGUUAGUAUUAUUAACAAUAAUGUUAACUUGUGCCCUUAGGAUACAUGUUACUCCCUCCGUCCCUAUAUAUAAGACCCUUUUGCCAAAAUCACGGAAAUUAAGAUAGUGAAUAUUUGUAUUAAAGUUGUUUGUAAUCACUAUUGUUUUUACAAUUUUAUCCUUUAAGAAAGAAGGUUAGUUUAUGUUUUCAACAUGUUAUUUAUUGUUGAUUGAAGAAAAAGAUGUAUAAUAAAUAGGGGCAUGUAUGUAAAGAAUUAAUUAAUGUAGUUGGAAAUAACAAAUGAGUCUUAUAAAAAUGGACAAAAAAAAUUCUCAAAAGGGUCUUAUAAUUAGGGACGGAGGAAGUAAAAAAUAAAAACAUUUUCUAAAAUUUUGUGCAUCCAAUUCAUAAAAACAUUAAACAUUAAAUUUAAUUCACGCAUUCCAAUACAUUAUUUCUAUUUUUUAAGUCAUUAAGGCACAAGUUAGCAUUUAUGACCUUAACUUGAAGGCGUGGGAGAGUGAGUGCGAAAUAGAAGGGGGCUGAGCUUCUCUGCUACUACUGAUGUACAGUUUCCGUGGUUGGAUGUUUGGAAAGUCAGAGAUUGAUGAAAUGACAUUCAUAAAGAAAAUUGAAAUCAAUGCAUAACAGACUUGAUUUUGACGUUUCAGAUUCUGUAAGUCAGAAGAAAGAAUUCAUGAACAUAAUAAUAUAAGGAAUUAAAAUAAUCAGCAUAGAAGCAUGCAAAAUAUAAAAUAUUCUCUUUUCUUAAUGCCAAAAUGAUUUUGUAGUUAGGGCUGAAAAUACGAUAGUCUAAUUUAAACUUUAUGAUGCCUAAGUGGAAAAACCGAUCAUAAAUUUCAAAUUCCAAAUCUAACAAAUUGUUAUUGUUUAUUUUUGGACUUGAGCUUGUUUUCUUUGAAAGUUUAAUAAAUGCAUCUUAAAAUUUGUUUGGACAUAUAUUUAGUAACAUGCAAAUUUUUGUAAAUAAUAUUAUAAUUAUAGAAACUCAAUUGAAUUGGUUUGGUGGUGUUAACUUAAAAUCUUAAAUGUACUCCUCCUCAAAUAUGUCUCAAAGAACUAGGGGUAUCAAAGAGUAAUAGAUCCUCGAGCGAUCAUGAUAAUGGAUAAAGAGUCAUACAGUGCAAAUGUUAUGAACUUUACUAUUAUUUUUUUUCUCACUAGGAGGUUGUUAACUCAAAUUAUAUAUAUCUUUGAUUCAAGUGAUUCGAGCUAACGAGUUAAAUUAUAUUUUCUUGUUAAGUUUAUAGUAAAUAAAAUGAUUAGUGUCAAGCUCAAGUUGAAGUAAGUUCCACUCCUUUCAAUUCAUUUCUAUAGCCGUACUGAUCAAAAUUGUCAAUCAUGAACAUCCAACCUGCAUAUGAAAUGAUGAGUUCAGUCAACCUUGAGAAAUAACAUAGCAUUAAAAACAAAAAGUUCUUACCAAUUUUUUGAAACAACCUGCAAAAGUGCCAACUUCAAUUUAGUGCUUUCAUGGAGAUUCCAACAAAGAGAGGGGAUCCAUGAUGGCAAAAAUGUGGUCCAAAAAAUUCCUUUUUGAAAAGGCCUUUGUUGAUUUAUGAGUUGGAGUUUUUUUAUUUUUAUUUUAUAUAUAUAUAUAUAUAUAUAUAUAUAUAUAUAUAUAUAUAUAUAUAUAUUGGAUAAAGUAAUUGAUUAGUUGAAUGAAUUUAAUUUGAAUUUUACGCACGUUCUUUGCAGCUGUACUAAAAGCUUCUCUGUGACUAAUAUCAGGAUUAUUAGCCUUGAUCCUCUGAAUCUCUUCCCUGUAUAAAUACAGAUUAUUAAGAUNNNNNNNNNNNNNNNNNNNNNNNNNNNNNNNNNNNNNNNNNNNNNNNNNNNNNNNNNNNNNNNNNNNNNNNNNNNNNNNNNNNNNNNNNNNNNNNNNNNNUAGUUUGCUUCAUCGUGCACUCUUGUCGCGUCUUCUCUUGGUUCUCCUCCAGCCUCGCGGGUGAUCCUGUUAUCGUCCUCUUUAUUUUCGCCUUCCACUUCAGCCGUUUUCUCAGCAGUAGGGGCAGCUUCAGAUUUCUCUGCUUCCCCAGAUCCACCAUCUUGCUUCGUCUCCUCCACUGGCUGUUCGAUCUUUUCUUCUUGUUUCGUCUCCUCCACUGGCUGUUCAAUCUUUUCUUCCUGCUUUGUCUCCUCCGCUGGCUGUCCAAUCUUUUCUUCUUGCUUUGUCUCCUCUGCUGGCUGUCCAGUCUUUUCUUCAUCCUUAUUCUGAACAACUCCAGACCCCUCAGCUCCUUUGUCAUCAAUAUUCUCUUUUGAUGCUUGCAAAUCUCCAUCAGCAGUGUUGGAUUUCCCCUCAUCCGUAGUUUCUCCAGGUUGAAUGGACUCUUUAACAUCAGCAUCCUCUGCUCCCUUCUUAUCUUCAUUUUCGUUAACAACUUCCUUUUCCAGCUCUACAUCCUUGUCAUCCUUAGUUUCACCAGCUUCUUGCAUUUCCACAUCAUUUGUCUCCUCUGCUUCGUCCUCAGAAGCUGCUUUCUUUGAAGCUGAUGACUUUCUGCUACGUUUCUUAGGUGGGUCACUUUUUGGCUCUGCUGGAGGAGCUGCCUUGACCUUCUCAACAAUUCUCGAUGAUCUUCUUGGAGUCUCCCCAGUGCCCCAAUCAAAUUCUGAUAUGUUUGGGCCACCGUUAGUUUUCAAAUACUUCUCCAGAUGCCUUUUGGUACGGAUCUCCUCUCCUGUUGGUGAAGUGAACACAAUCUCAUUUUUCUUGGGUGUUCCUGACUUUUUUGGAAAGAACUGCAAAGGAAAUAUAAUUUAUUAAUACUCAUGCAAUAGCAAGCAACAAAUCAACAACUGUUACACAUACAAGAUCUUGUUCCAAGUUUUAACUUUUAUAAGACUUUGGUGCUCAUGAUGUUAAAAGAUAAAACAAGAAUUAUGUCUUAUGAUUAGAACAGUGUAUUAAACCCUUGAGAAUACUCAAUUAAAAAUGUUUCUUCCUCUUCUCUUAAUCAAAAAAUUAUUUUGUUGUUACGAUUUUAAGCAUUUUAGUGCCUAGUCAAACAUCAUAGGCAGUUAUAAGCUAGCACUUUUACUGUUAAACUUCAGUAAGAGAGUAGCAACUAGCAUAGCACCAAAUUAACCUUGUUCAGUCUGAAGGCUUUUCUAUCCCUCUUUAAUCCUUCCAAUCAGGCUAUACCUGGGAGAGGUGUGAGCACUGAAGACAAGUAUCCAUGGCUCAUAAAGACCAAGAAACACAAAAACGGACACAUAGGGACUGUAUACAAAACCAUUCCCAAUCUAAAACUGCAGUAAUGGAGAAUACACGGACAACAUCAUUCAGUAUGACAAUCAACUGUUUGUCUCAACAAAACAAGUAAACAAUACUUCUCAUUAAAAGCCAAUAUAGAUGCCCCUCUAGUUAUGUAUUAUACAAUAACCCAGAGGACGUAUGUACCUAGAAAAAAUAGUUUGUAUGGAAAUUGGGAACUGAAGAUCACAUCAGGUUGGUUAGGGGUUAUGUUUUUCAUGGAAAAUGAAUAAAAGAAAAAAAAAAAUACAUUGGCGAUUGCAUGGGUUUGUAAAACUCAGGGCAAAUCAUUGCAAUUUACUUCAAGUAUUAAAAAAAAAAGGCUGUUAGAUAGUGGGUUUAUCCAGUGCACAAUAUCAGAAAAUAUUAUAAUAAAUGGUUACAAAUAUGACAGAAAAUCUUAUGAUAGUUAUUACACAUUUACAUGGUAAGAAACGUGGUAUAUUUCCUCCCUACUGGCUUAUAUGUGGGUAUAAAUUACAUGACUGAUUGACUGGGUUCAAUAUACCAUGUGGCUCAUGCUCUAGUCGGUGUUGGAUUUGCUAACCAACACUAAGCCUGGUGUUUGAAAGAAAAUAUACUUGAGCCAGUAGGGAUGGUAUGUUGAAUGAUUUCACAAUCUAAUGUCUUGAGACUGGUUCUAAACAAAAAUGUAAUAGUUGGACUUGGAUCACUGUCUUAGAGAAAUAUGAACACCAUAGAAACUAAACAGAAAAAAAAGAAAAGAAAAUAGAGAACAACUAAACAGCAAACAGUAUCGGAUCUCAAACAAGAAAAUAUUAAUGUUUAUAAUUUCGGCAACUGUUCAUUUUACAGUUUUUUGGGGAAAGAGGUGUUUGUUAUUCAUGUUUUCCUAUCGUUUAGAAAACAAACACUAUACCCCCAUAAGCCCUAUCUAUCAUUGUAAAAAAAGGAGGUUAUUUGACAAUUUCUUCACAUAUUAGAAUUAUAACUAUCCCUAGAACUAACAAAUAAACACAACAAAACAACAACACUAAGAAAAUAUUACCAUCCCGUACUAAAUCCCAGACCUAUGAAAUGCACAAAAGUCAUACUUAAAACAAGUUUCCAUGCUUAACAGUCCAAGUGAAAAAAAGAUCAAUGAUACAAACAACUAGCUCAGGAACAAUCAAUCUCAAUUGCAAUGUACCCAAUUUGCUAAAUUUUUAAAAUUACAAAACCAAAGUAAGAAAUUCCCAAAGAGUAAGCCACAAUGUACACUUUAAGCAAAAUUUCCAUACACAAUUUAUACAACAAUUUGAAUUAUGCAAAUCCUCUACACAGUGCUAGAAUUGCAAUCAUAAACCUCACAAAAAAAAUUAAGAAAUACAAAAAUAGGGACACAGUAAGAAUCUUGUAAACCCUAGCAGGUAAUUCAAAACCCAGAAAGUACACAAUUCCCCAAAUUCAGAGAACAAAAUAGCUAAAUCUUUGACAUGAAUCUUGAAACACACACAUUCAACAGUUAAAAAUUCAAGAAAACAACAAAAUGCUUGAAAAUUCAAAACCAAAUCCCUAAUUAUGGAAACCAAAAUCAAAGCAUCAUACAGACACAAAUCACAAAAUUAAACAAUACCAACACGAAAAUCAAAGAAUUAACAAGAAAUUACAACAACACGAAAUUCAAAUUAACCUAAAAUUGAAAAUUCAAACAGAAAUUAGAAUAACCUUUUUGGUCCAACCAGAUGGAGCAGGUAGCUCAAACGAAACAGGCUCUUCUGGUGCACCUGCAGCUGCACCGACAGCACCAGAACCUUCCUUCUCAACUGAACUCGCCAUUUUCAACUAACAAAAAAAAUUACCCAAAAAAAAAUAAUCACAAUACUGUUGAAGAAAGAAAAUGAAAAAGUAAUUAAUAAUAAUAAACUUUAGAAUUUUGUAUAAUAGAGCAAAAAUUGAUAAAUAAUUGAAGAAAAAGGAUAAAGAGAGAAAAUUACUUAGGUUUUUUUUUUGUUUUGAUUUUUGAUUUUUGCGUUUGUUGAAGUGAAAGUGAAAUUGUUGUUGUGUGUGUGUUUUUAAGUGUAAGGUGGAGAAAGAAGAAUAGAGAAGAAAAAUAUUUAAUGUAUUAUUAAUUAAUUAAUGUUUUUUUCAUUUAUUUUGAAAUUAAAAUUGAAAUUGAAGUGACACGUGUGGAAUCUCACAAAAAUAUGCUUCUUUCUUCUCUCUCAUAAAAUGAAAGGUUCUAAAAUCUAAACUUGAUUUCUGUGUUGGGUCACAGUCAUGCUCUGCUACUGCCACGUGUCUCUUUUUUGCUAUUCUUUUUUUUCUUACACGUUUUAUAAAGGUAAAGAAACAAAGAAUUUGAAAUUGAAAAAUUUGAAAUUGGAGCUUUUUUUGUCGUCUUUUUGGACAAAUAAGAUAUUCAAAUUAUCCAUUUGAAAAAGCUGUGGAUUUUUAUUUUUUAUUUCCUCCACUUUCACGGGGAAGGGNNNNNNNNNNNNNNNNNNNNNNNNNNNNNNNNNNNNNNNNNNNNNNNNNNNNNNNNNNNNNNNNNNNNNNNNNNNNNNNNNNNNNNNNNNNNNNNNNNNNGUGAAUUUUUAUUUAUUUAUAAAAUCGUCUAGUGGCUAGAAAAAUUCACCUUAAAGAUGAAUAAGUGAGGCGAAUUCACCUUAAAACAAUAAAAAAAAUUAAUGCGAAUUCACCUAAAAAAUAAAUAUAGGAGAUUUUAUAAUUUUAAUUGGAUUCUAGAUUUUAUCUUGAAAUAAUAUAUAAAUCAUUUCGUCGGAUAAUUUAUCGGUGAAAUAUAUAUUUUGUCGGAUAAUAACAUAUAUAUAUUCGUCGGAUAAUUUAUCGGUGAAAAAUAUAUAUUUUGUCGGAUAAUAAUAAUAAUAUAUAUAUAUAUAUAUAUAUAUAUUCGUCGGAUAUUUUAUCAAAAUAUAUUUCGUCGGAGAUCCUAAAUUAUCCAAAUAAAAAAAACAAAAAGGAAAAAUUGGAUGGUUCAUGCCUCAUGGUGUGUGAAUCUGGUUUUAAAAAUGGUAUAUAUAUUAUUGGAUGCAAACAUUAGCAACAAAUCUUCACUGGCUUGGUGGCAACGCAGCCUGGUUCGAUGACUUUGACACGUGUCAAAAUCUGCCGGUCCCGCCAUUUCAAAUGGCGGUAAUGGCAAAAAAAAAAAAGUAAGGCCAGUCAGGAUGUGCCAUGUGUACCGGCGGCUCAGUCCCGCCGUAUGGCGGGAACGAGGAAAAAGACAAAAAAAAAAAAAAAGUAAGGGUGAUUUCGGUAAAAAAAUUCAAAAGGGGUCAGACUUGAAAUUUUUUUUAUAAAAAGGUCAGGAAAAAAAAAAAUUCUUAAAACUUACCAUCUGUGUCUUGAAAAUUCUUGAUGCUAUUUUUCUAGAGAAAUAUCAUUUUCCUUAUUCUUUUUCUCCCGCUAACACUCUUCAUUAUUGCAUUUUAUUAAUCUAAUUAUUUCAUUGAAUAUAAUUAAUAAAAGUGUUUUAAUAAACGAUUAAAAAAAAUGGUGUUUUAAUAAAUGAAACAAUUUACCGUUAAAAUCAAUAUUACUAAUCUUUUUUUUUAAUAGUUGUGUAAAACUUAAAAUAAACAUCUAAUUUAAGACGGAUGUAUGAUAUAACAAAAUAUAUUUAAAUUAUCACACUAAGCAAUUUGACUCAAAUGAUUAAUGAAUUUUAUAAAAGUAUAAAUUAUUUGGAAGAAUUCAAUUUUCAAUUCAUGGAACAAUUUCACAACCAUCUCAUAAUUAAUUGGACCUCAUUCCUUUGUGAAUUGGAGGGUUACAAACAAAAAUAAAUAAAUUACGAAGGGUUAAAAAAUUUAAAUGAGGAUUACUGUAUUUUCAUAGACCAAUGUUAUGGUGCAUAAAUAAAACAUGUUUUGCAUAAAAAACAAGCUAAUUUUAAAUAUUAAAUAAAUAAAUUUUACUGCAUAAUUAAAUGGGAUACGAUCUGAUUUAUUAAUUCAAGGGUGAAAACAUCCCCAAUGUAAUAUAUAUUACAUACACAUAGAGAUAAUUAGUUGGUUAUACUAGAUUUUUUUUAAACAAACAAGUUAAAUUACGAACACAUGUUAACUAGUGUUCUAGGAGUUAGAUUUACUUUUUAUAAUAUUCUGGAGUUAGAUUUUUGUUUAGAUAUUUUUUGAAGGUAGGUUUUUGUCUAGGUGAAAAUUUUUUAAAAAUUUAAUUUUUUAUAAUUUUUUUGUAAUCGAUAAAUGUUAACGAGUGUUCCAGGACAUUCUUUAAGGAUCAUAAAUGAUAAAUUUUUAUAGAAAAAUUUAUUUUCAAUGUAUUAAAAAUUAAAGUUAUUUUACUUUUUUUAAUGACUAAUUUCUUAAUCUAGAAUCUUUAAAUAGUGGUAUGAGGAUUUUUAUUUCAAGACUCUUAAAAAUACUCCAUUCGUUCUUAUUUAUGAAAGAAAGUUGGGUCAAUAAAAGUUAAUAUAUAUGGUUUAAAAUUCAAUAUAGAUACAUCAAUUUUUGUUAACCCAACUUUCUUUUAUAAAUACGUGAAACUAUCAACUAAAUUAUUCAUUUUGGAAGGGAGUGAGUGAAUAUUAGAUUAAUACUGAUGAACAAAAGUCUUUUACUAGAUGGCCCAGGGAUAAAAAUGCAACAUCCGAUUCCCAUGGCCAAUUUGCAGCCUUUAACUGAAUUGGAAUCUGGAAGAAACUGUGCCACCAUUUUGGUCAAUUUCCAAUGACUAAAAUACCCUUUCGGAUCUAAAAAUUGACUGGAUGAGAUAACAGAAUCCAACAACAACCUUAUCCUCCAAAUGUUCCAAAUUUCCAUGUCUUCUAAAUUUUCAUGCGCCAAAAAAAAAUAAAACAAAAACAAAACAUGGCAUCAAAUUUUCUCUCAACAGCAAAUCCCUUCCAUCUAGCAUCUUCAUCACAAUCUUCAUUAGUAACACCAACAUAUGCUUACAACCCUAUCAAAUGCAAUUUGAAAAGACAAUUAACUCCUUGCAAAGUAGUUAAUCAACCAUCACUAAGUGUGACUAAAAGAGACAUAUCUAUAGGUUUUAUGACCAGUUUGGUCCUUUCAUUGAGUGGUAAGGGUUUGUUUGAUGCUAAUGCUGCAAUACUUGAAGCAGAUGAUGAUGUUGAACUUUUGGAAAAAGUAAAGAAAGAUAGAAAGAAGAGACUUGAGAAACAAGGUGUCAUUAGUUCAUCCACCAAAGAAACAGGUAAUGUGCAUUAUUUGAUAUGAAAUUCAUUUUUCAUGUUAAUUCCUUAAAUUGAAUGAUUUUGUUCACCAUAAUACAUAUAAAUUUGUGGGUCUAAUUGAGCUUAAUUCAUGAGGGUUUCUAAUGAAAUUAAAAAGGUCUCAUAAAGUGCAAAUAUUGGUUUGUUCAAUUGAAUUUUUCCUAGAUAUUGUACAAGUUUAGUAUCAUCUCAUUUACUAUUAAUUAUAUUAUAUUAUAUGACAUGUUUGCUACACUUUGAUGACAACAACUCUGGAUGCUAAGUUUAAAACUUUCUUGAACAAUAAUCCCAUCCAUGAUGCGGUCCAACCCCCUUCACGCCUGACACUCUUUGGACUUGAUGUGUGGAUAGGUAGGUGGCCCUUGAAUCAACAAGCUCUGAUACAAUGUUAGAAACUGGUUGGGCCUAACACAACUCCAAAAAGUCUGCUUGUGAGAUGAGGGGUGUCUCCUAUUUAUAAACUCUUAUCAAAAAUCUUAUCUAUUUGAUGUGGUACUUGGGUUUUUCCCGAUAAUUUUGAUUGCAAGGUGACUAAUUUUUAUUUACCAUAAGGAAUUGAAUACAUCCUUAUAUAUCAAAAUAAAGUUGUUUACUCGCUGCAUCUUAAAGGCACUAGUAGUUUGCUCAAGUUCCUUCAUGAAAAAACUCAAAACACCAGUUUUUUUUGCUGAGUUCUCAAGUUCAGCAGGGACAAUUUUUUUCUUCCCUUUUUUGUACUAACGAAUGAAAAAUAAUUGCAGGGUAUCUUCAAGACUUGGUGUACAAAUUGAGUGAAGUUGGUCAAGCAAUUGAACAAAAUGAUCUAACUUCAGCUGGUUCUGUAUUAGGGAAAGGCAAGGAUGCUGAUUGGGUGCAAAAAGCUAAUAUAGCUUUGAAUAAGGUAUAUCUCGUUUCAUUGUGUAUGUUUGGAAUCACAGUGACACCACGGUUCUAUGAAACUCGUGUCAAUUCAAACAUGCACUUAAAUGCAUUCACUGUGAACCCCUUUGUUAUGAAAUCUUUAGUAACAAUUUCACAUCGAAAGUUAGACAAGAAAGAAAGUUGCCUGUUAUUAAUUUCUUAGCAAUAAUAUGGAUAAUAACAUCAGUAUGUAAUCUCUUAGUCAAUAGCAAUAAUUGGCACUAAAUUUUGACCUUGAUACAUAAAUGCUCUUAUAGUAGCAUUAGAGUCUGAAUUUCAAAAUUGAGGAAACUGGUGCCUUUAGUAUAAUUUUCAAGUGGAAAAUUCAAAUCCAAAACUCAUGCCCGAGAUACUAUCGUCGUUGAAACUUGAAACACACUCUUUAAUCUCUAUUUGGUCUGCUUCUUAACAGCUGAGUUCAAGUCCUGAAGAGAAGUCUGAGGUGGACACAUUCAAUUCUUCACUUGCUUCAUUGGUUUCAUCAGGUGUGUUUCAUUCAAUCAGGAAUUAAACUUCAUACAAUGCAGAAAAUAUGUUCAUCUUCAGACAUCUUGUUCAAUGUUUAGGCCUUCUCUUGAUUUAGAUGGUUCACACCUGGAAAAUUAAGUGUGUUUGGAUUUCAAAUUUAGGCUUUCUCUUGUUUAUAUAAAAUAUGCAAAAAUAAUAAUUUCAUUUGAAACUCAAUUUCAACCAAAUCAAUUAUACAUAUCAACUACCAAGUUUAUUUAAAAUCACACGUGUCAAAAUGCUCAACAGAAGAUGUUGAAUUGACUCAAACGUAUUUUUAAACCAUUUUAUAAUGAAUGCCAAACACACUAAAAAAUAGUCUAUAUGUAACCAUGCAAAUAUAUUAUCCUCAUAAACUUUCUUAAGUGUGUGUGUGCGCGCACAAGUAAUGUCUUCCUCAAAAUAUAGCUCUGAGAUUUCUUCAAGCACACACACUAACUCUUAAUACUGAUGCUUUUGGCAGUUGCUCAGAAUGAUGUGGAGUCGUCCAAAAUUGCCUUUGUGUCUUCAGCAUCUGCAAUUGAGAAGUGGACCUCGUUGACAGGGCUGGUUGGUAAACUUAAAGGAAUUUGAACCUUGAGUGAAGAAGCUACAAGAAAUUUUAUUUCAUCUUAGAUAUAGAGAAUUCCAUUAAUUUUCUCUGCUGGCUCACCAAAUUUUGGUGUCUUGGGGGCAGUCCCAUCACAGCUUUAUUUAGGAAAGAGAAAGACCAACAAGCUCAUUUUUCACGGAUCAUGAAUGAAGUUUGAGCUUGGAUGUAAAUUGUCUGGCACAAAAUUGUAAUUUUAAUUGUAAUGUCAUUGAAAAUUUGACUACAUGCAAUAUUGUUGUUCCCUCAAACUACUGAAGGAUAAUUAACUGCAACCAUGUCACCACCCAAACUUUAGCCAUUAAAAAAUGUCACGGCUAAGGCCACAACCAUAUUCAAGGCUAAUGGUUAAAAUUAUUAUCAUCAUUGGCUAAUUAAAUAUGAAAAUGAAAUAAAACAUGCAAAUAGGCUCCAAAUAAAUGAGACUUGGGGCAUGACGUAGGAUAACACUGCAAAGGACAUGGCUUCAGAAAGAAAAAGAAAGAAAAAAAGACGCUGCAAAGGACUUCACCUUUAACUNNNNNNNNNNNNNNNNNNNNNNNNNNNNNNNNNNNNNNNNNNNNNNNNNNNNNNNNNNNNNNNNNNNNNNNNNNNNNNNNNNNNNNNNNNNNNNNNNNNNUGAUAUUAAAUUUGGACGGGACCAAAUAGGUUUGCUUUACUUAUUUUCUUUUCAUGAUCUGAUCAAGUGUGUGGAAUAUUAGUAGGAACUUGUUGAUGAAUUAAUACUAACCCACUAAUGUGUUGUGCAGUUGCGACACUCACAACCAAGAUUAAGCAUCUAUCAUCAGUUCUACACAAGAAGGUGAGUUGCUUCUUUGUUUGUCUAUUUUUCUGAUAUAUUAUUGCGUCUGUAGAUCAAUGGCUAGAAUACUCCUCAAUAGAAUAUCUGUAUGUUCAACUAUUUGAUGUACAAACACUGUUGAUAGUGUCUACUGUUCUGCUUUGUUUAUGAAAGACUGUUUUAGUCUGUUACGUGUUUCUUUUAACUAGUUUAAAAGUGCCGUCUUUUUACCAGUUUUCAUAGUCUGUAAAAUUUUCUUCUGGCUGCGAUAUUUGAAUGUGCUUCUGUUAGGUGAUAUUUGAAUGUGCUUCUGUUAGGUAGGAGUAGAGUUUGUAGUUACAAUCAACCAACUCUAGUACUAACUUUUUUUUUAAGACCCUACUGUAUGGCGAGUCAUAACCAGUGUUGUUAAAUGGCAUUGGUUUAGCCGAUUUUUUUGACAACCACUAUAGGCAUUUUGUGAAGGGGGCCGCAAUGGUGUGUUUAUACGACAGAUUUUUGGCCAUCUGCCACUAACAACAUUGGUCAUAUCUGUACAACUUUAUAAAUAUUCUGCAAAGGAGACCGGGUCCAUAAUGCACAGCCAUGAUUGGAUUUUCUAUCAUUCAGUUAGAACUUUAUCUUGAGCUAGUAUUUUAAUAUAUAUGUUUUUUUUGUUUGUUUUUUUUUUUAAAGUAAACUGUAGUUUUUGUUGUUAAUGUCAUUUUAUCUGAUUGUUCAUUGAAAUGACUAUAUACAAUCAUAGAGUAGCCGUAUAAUGUACCAUCAUGUAUGUUGUGAAGAGACAUAUAGCUUCUAGUUCCCAUGUAACAUUGUGUUGUAAGAUUCCUGUAAUGUGAUAUGAACCUAUAAUCAUGUGAGACCUUGAUCCUAAAUAUGUGUUUACUCCAAUUCAAGUAUGUGUUUGGUAAAUAAAAAAUUCAAAGUGACGACUUGCAUGUCUUUUGCAUUGUUUUCUUUUUCUUUCUCUUACUGAAGCCAUGUCCUUGUGUUAUCCAACGUCAUGCCCCAAGUCUCAUAUUUAUUUGUAACCUAUUUGCAUAUGUUUUAUUUCAUUUCAUAUAUAAUUCUUAACCAUUAGCCUGAUAAUAAUAUUCUUAACCAUUAGCCUUUAAUAUGGCCAUGGCCUUUGCUGUGACACUUUUUAAUGGCUAACUAAAGUUUGGG
rnacentral:lncRNA from 1 species